ensembl:lncRNA
GAAUCUCUGAAUACACUUAAGAUCACAGAAGUCUUUACCCCUGACAAGUCUAUUGUCAUCCCUCUCUCUCUCCAGUAAAGUCAAUAGAAAGGCAACUCUGUAAGACAUCUAAGCAAACCAAGAAAUACAACUCAGGAAGUAGAUAGAUCACAGGAAGUAGAUCAUAGGACGCAGGUCAUGAAAAGUACUACGCAGGAAGUAGAUCACAGGACGCAGGUCAUGAAAAGUACUACGCAGGAAGUAGAUCACAGGACGCAGGUCAUGAAAAGUACUACGCAGGAAGUAGAUCACAGGACGCAGGUCAUGAAAAGUACUACGCAGGAAGUAGAUCACAGGACGC